rnacentral:rRNA from 1 species
UGGGGAAUAUUGGACAAUGGGGGCAACCCUGAUCCAGCAAUGCCGCGUGUGUGAAGAAGGUCUUCGGAUUGUAAAGCACUUUCGACGGGGACGAUGAUGACGGUACCCGUAGAAGAAGCCCCGGCUAACUUCGUGCCAGCAGCCGCGGUAAUACGAAGGGGGCUAGCGUUGCUCGGAAUGACUGGGCGUAAAGGGCGUGUAGGCGGUUUACACAGUCAGAUGUGAAAUCCCCGGGCUUAACCUGGGAGCUGCAUUUGAUACGUGUAGACUAGAGUGUGAGAGAGGGUUGUGGAAUUCCCAGUGUAGAGGUGAAAUUCGUAGAUAUUGGGAAGAACACCGGUGGCGAAGGCGGCAACCUGGCUCAUGACUGACGCUGAGGCGCGAAAGCGUGGGGAGCAAACAGGAUUAGAUACC